UUUUAUUUGAGAGUUUGAUCCUGGCUCAGGAUGAACGCUGGCGGCGUGCCUAACACAUGCAAGUUGAGCGAUUUACUUCGGUAAAGAGCGGCGGACGGGUGAGUAACGCGUGGGUAACCUACCCUGUACACACGGAUAACAUACCGAAAGGUAUGCUAAUACGGGAUAAUAUAUUUGAGAGGCAUCUCUUGAAUAUCAAAGGUGAGCCAGUACAGGAUGGACCCGCGUCUGAUUAGCUAGUUGGUAAGGUAACGGCUUACCAAGGCGACGAUCAGUAGCCGACCUGAGAGGGUGAUCGGCCACAUUGGAACUGAGACACGGUCCAAACUCCUACGGGAGGCAGCAGUGGGGAAUAUUGCACAAUGGGCGAAAGCCUGAUGCAGCAACGCCGCGUGAGUGAUGAAGGCCUUCGGGUCGUAAAACUCUGUCCUCAAGGAAGAUAAUGACGGUACUUGAGGAGGAAGCCCCGGCUAACUACGUGCCAGCAGCCGCGGUAAUACGUAGGGGGCUAGCGUUAUCCGGAUUUACUGGGCGUAAAGGGUGCGUAGGCGGUCUUUCAAGUCAGGAGUGAAAGGCUACGGCUCAACCGUAGUAAGCUCUUGAAACUGGGAGACUUGAGUGCAGGAGAGGAGAGUGGAAUUCCUAGUGUAGCGGUGAAAUGCGUAGAUAUUAGGAGGAACACCAGUUGCGAAGGCGGC
rnacentral:rRNA from 1 species